AUUGUAGUCUGUUUUGGACUUCUUGGCCACCGUAGAUAACUUAGCCCAUACAAUUAAUAGAGUUCAUAACUGUCUCAGAGUUAUACAGAGUUAAAUGCUACUAUCAAUUAAUAGACAAGGCCGAGGCCGAGAACUCUGCUGAGUUUAUAGCUGUUUAUAUGCCACUACCAGCCAAUCAGAAAUUAGAAUGUUGUUUUUUCUGUGUAAAUUAGGUGAUCCUGCUUCAAGGAUGUUCAUUACUAGGCAACAUGGAUGUGUGCACACACGGAGUCUAAGUUAGAAGAGCAAGAGUAAACCUGCUACAGUUGCACAUAUUAUUGGUGCAAAGAUGAGAAGUGGUGAUAUUUAUUUUGUACCACAUUUGCAUACUUUCAACACUAUAAGUGUGUCCCAUCAGGUAAUAAAAACUUCUACACACACUUGUGGUCUUUACGCUCACUUGAACACUUGAGCCAAAUACGAGAAAUAUGUCAUACAAGUGGUCAAGUGCAAAGACCACAAGUGUGGGUAUUUGGAAAGGGCAACUUACUUUACUAACUUGACAUUUUACUUUACAGUGCAACAGAAUUACAGUAACGGUUAUAAUUUAAAUAAUAAAAAUAUAAUUCAUAUGUAGGUAAUUAAAUAU
ensembl:lncRNA